rnacentral:rRNA from 1 species
UACGGAGGAUGCGAGCGUUAUCCGGAUUUAUUGGGUUUAAAGGGUGCGUAGGCGGACUGUCAAGUCAGCGGUAAAAUACGGGGGCUCAACCUCCGCCCGCCGUUGAAACUGACGGUCUUGAGUGGGCGAGAAGUAUGCGGAAUGCGUGGUGUAGCGGUGAAAUGCAUAGAUAUCACGCAGAACUCCGAUUGCGAAGGCAGCAUACCGGCGCCCAACUGACGCUGAAGCACGAAAGCGUGGAUAUCGAACAGG